UUUCUUUUUGAAACUUAAGAAUUGUUGGCAUCUCCCCUGACAGGGACGGGAACAGCCUUCGGGCUUUCCUUGUUAUCACAUCCGGUUAAGGCUACCAACCUCAUUGAAUU